rnacentral:lncRNA from 1 species
UCUGUUUCUUUUUUAUUUCUUCUGGGUUUGCUGUGAUUUCACAUUCCUUACUGAUUUUCUAUCUUCCUUGUUAUCAGAUUGGCUAAAGGCUUAUCAAUUUUGUUAGUUUUUUCCAAACGACCAGCUUUUAAAUAUGGAAAUAUGUUUUGCAUGAUAAUACAUGUACAAUCCAGAUUGAAUUGCUUGUCAGCUCUGGGAACACAGAGGGAAGAAGGGAGGGAGACAAUAUGGAUCAUAUAACUUCAGAAAACUUAUGUGAGAAUUUGCUAUUUUAAAAUAAAAAAUUAAAUGUAACCCCCCUCCCAAAGAACUAGCUAUUAGGCUUUUUUCUCCAGCUUUUAGUUUUGUCAUUUUAAUAGAUAGUUUGGUUGCCAGUUUAUCUAUCUCUCCCCUAAUUUUUAAAAUCUCUUUUGUGCUUAUUUCAGGUGUUGUUUGUUGGCUUCCUAAUCUUUAAAUACAAAUUCUUCUUCUCUUUGGUCUAUUUUGUUAAUGUAUGUAUGCUAGUAAGGACAUGAUUUUCCCUCUAAGAAUUGUUUUAGCUGCAUCCUAGAAUUUUGUUGUUUUUCCAAUCUUUUUUCCCAUUUUGUUUCACGUGAUUAUUCGUUAUUUCCUUAAUUUGUUCUCUGAUCCACUCAUAAUUUAGGAUUUCAUUUUUGUCUCCAUUCGAGUCUUUGGUUUUUAUUUUGUUAUUUUUUUGUCUGUGCUUUUAAUAUUGUCUUUUCAAAAUUAAGAUCCUCCCCCUCUUCUUUUACAAGCAGAGCACUUCAGUUAUUUUAACUUGAAGGAGAUCAGAUCAGUCAAUACUUAAAGAAAUUAAUUCAGACCAUUCGCUAGAAGGUCAAAUACUGAAGCUGGAGCUUAAAUACUCUGGCCACAUAAUAAGAAGACGGGGACUCAUUGGAAAAGACCUUGAUGUUGGGAAAGAUUGAAGGCAAAAGGAGAAGGGGACGCAGAGGACGCAGAGAUGGAGAGAUAGUGUCAUGGAAACAAUAAACAUGAGCUUGGACGACUUUGAGAGAGAGUGGAGGCCCUUUUUGCCUGGUCCACAAGAUCAUGAGGAGUCAGACACAACAGAACAGCUAAACAACAACAACAAUAAAAUGUAGAACGUGUAAUCCUGGACUUUGUACGCUGCACACAUGGACCGCCCUGGGGCCAAAAUGCCAUAUCAUUGAGGUGCACUUUCUAAAUGAAGAGCAGGGCCAAGAGAGAAAGGGCCGCUAAGUCCCCUGGGCUGGGUAACCAUGGAGAUCAGAAGAGGUAGGGCGCAAACUUAACCGGGCAUGCGCACAGCAGCCUUCCCAGGACGGGAUUCAGCAACAGCUUCUCAGCCUCGCCACCUAAUGGUUCAAAAUGGGGCUCGCAUCUGGCAUUGAGAGUACAUACACAGAAACAGAUAUACACAUGUACAUAGGUACCAUCUUUCUCCAAAGACCCCAUUUGUAGGACUCUCUGGAAUGCUGCAGAUUUCCCUAGAAUUUGGAGAACUUCCCCCCUGCUGAGUACAAUGCCCUUCUGACGCUCACCACGUUGUUGUCGGAGAUGGCAGUUAAAUAUAUGCAUAUAUAGAAUAUAUUGUCAAUAUUAUGUUACAUAGUACCAUACUAUGUAUAAUAUAUAAUCAUGUAAGUAAAUAGAUAUUAUAGAAAGAUAUAAUUAUAGGAACAAAUAUAUUAUGCCUUAUUAAUAUUAUAUUAUCUACUCAUGUUAUUUCCAAUGUAUGUUAUUCCAUAAAUCUGUUAUCAUAUAUAAAAAUGUAUAUCUAACUCUAUAAACAUCAUAUUAUAUGCCAUUGUUACAUUAUCAUAUAGCUAUAGAAUUAUAAAAAUAUGUUCUAUAUGAUUAACCAUAUCAUAUGACAUCUAAAUGUAUAUAGUUAGAGGAAUAAAUAGGUUUUAUUCUGUAUUAUUAAUCUUAUC